rnacentral:rRNA from 1 species
AUGACGAUUAACAGGGCUCAAGGGCAGACCAUUCCGAUUAUUGGCGUGUACCUACCUAAUCUGGUGUUCUCUCAUGGUCAGCUCUAUGUCGCGUUGUCUCGAGCCACCGCGAAGAGGAACAUAAAGAUCCUCAUUGAGAAGGAGAAGGAGAAAGAGAAUGUCAAGAAGCAAAGCAGUAAUCAAAGAAAAAGACCUACCUUGUCCUUACAGACCUCGAUGAAGAACAUCGUCUAUAAGGAAGUCCUUACAGGCCGAAGUCCGCACUUAAGAAACUGGCGGGUUUUGAAUAUGCUAGAGGAUUUACUCUUAUGCUGCAGAUAA